UACGUAGGGCGCAAGCGUUGUCCGGAAUUAUUGGGCGUAAAGAGCUCGUAGGCGGCUUGUCACGUCGAUUGUGAAAGCCCGAGGCUUAACCUCGGGUCUGCAGUCGAUACGGGCUAGCUAGAGUGUGGUAGGGGAGAUCGGAAUUCCUGGUGUAGCGGUGAAAUGCGUAGAGAUCGGGAAGAAUACCAGUGGCGAAGGCGUUCUGCUGGGCCGUGCUGACGCUGAGGAGCGAAAGCCAGGGGAGCAAACGGG
rnacentral:rRNA from 1 species